rnacentral:rRNA from 1 species
CCUACGGGGGGCUGCAGUGGGGAAUAUUGCGCAAUGGGCGAAAGCCUGACGCAGCAACGCCGCGUGCGGGAUGACGGCCUUCGGGUUGUAAACCGCUUUCAGCAGGGACGAAACUGACGGUACCUGCAGAAGAAGCACCGGCUAACUACGUGCCAGCAGCCGCGGUGAUACGUAGGGUGCGAGCGUUGUCCGGAAUUAUUGGGCGUAAAGAGCUCGUAGGCGGUCUGUCGCGUCGGAAGUGAAAACUCGGGGCUCAACCCCGAGCCUGCUUUCGA